rnacentral:tRNA from 1 species
GCGUUGGUGGUGUGAGGCGUAGCAUCGCUGCCCGGGAAGCAGAAGGUGCGGGUGCGAGUCCCGCCUGGCGCA